GUGGACGUGCCGGAGUGGUUAUCGGGCAUGACUAGAAAUCAUGUGGGCUUUGCCCGCGCAGGUUCGAAUCCGAAAAUGUUGUUUAGU
rnacentral:tRNA from 1 species